UACAGGGGGGCAAGCGUUGUUCGGAAUUACUGGGCGUAAAGCGUGCGCAGGCGGUUUGGUAAGACAGAUGUGAAAUCCCCGGGCUUAACCUGGGAAUUGCAUUUGUGACUGCCCGGCUAGAGUGUGUCAGAGGGGGUAGGAAUUCCACGUGUAGCAGUGAAAUGCGUAGAGAUGUGGAGGAAUACCGAUGGCGAAGGCAGCCCCCUGGGAUAACACUGACGCUCAUGCACGAAAGCGUGGGGAGCAAACAGG
rnacentral:rRNA from 1 species